rnacentral:sRNA from 1 species
UUAAUUCAGUUCCCAGCACUAGAACAAUUAAUCUUCUCCUUGUCCUUAUACCAACUUUUGGAGAAAAUGUCUUCCAGUUGUAGCUGUGGUAGUGACUGCAAGUGCGGCAGUGGCUGCAAAUGUGGGAUGCACAUUGACUUGGGUUACUCAGACCACUUCCAUUGAUACCAUCAUUGCUGGGGUUGCACCAGUGAAGAUGUCCUUUGAGGGGUCUGAGAUGAACUAUGGAGCAGAAAAUGACUGCAAGUGUGGCUCAAACUGCAGCUGCAGCUCAUGCGGCUGCAACAAAUGAUCAAAGCAAGCCUCAAGAAAAGCUGUCAUGCACGAGGUCUCUAUAAAUAAGGACUGUAAAGGUUGAAUUGUCCAAUUGGGUUUUAGAACUUGCGUUGUAAAAUAAGAUUGCCAUUUGACCUGCAAAUCCAUGAUCUCCUACUCCAGCUAGGAUUUGGGAUUUGAAGGUUUGCAAAUGAGAGAUCAAACUGUAGUUAAUACUUAAUAUGAACAGCUGAGAGCUCCAAUAUGUUGGUACUAUCCAUUAAUUUAUUAAAGCACAAAGUAUU